rnacentral:misc_RNA from 1 species
AAGAAUUGCCCCGUCUUCUCGAAGAUGGGUUCUAUUCCAAACCGUGCUUACAUACCUUUGUUGCUUUGGCGGGCCGCCGUUUCGGCGUUGGCUCCGGCUGACUGCGCCCGCCAGAGGACCACAACUCUGAAUGUUAGUGUCGUCUGAGUACUAUACAAUAGUUA